GACGAACGUUGGCGGCGUGCUUAACACAUGCAAGUCGAACGGAAAGGCCCUGCUUUUGUGGGGUGCUCGAGUGGCGAACGGGUGAGUAACACGUGAGUAACCUGCCCUUGACUUUGGGAUAACUUCAGGAAACUGGGGCUAAUACCGGAUAGGAGCUCCUGCUGCAUGGUGGGGGUUGGAAAGUUUCGGCGGUUGGGGAUGGACUCGCGGCUUAUCAGCUUGUUGGUGGGGUAGUGGCUUACCAAGGCUUUGACGGGUAGCCGGCCUGAGAGGGUGACCGGCCACAUUGGGACUGAGAUACGGCCCAGACUCCUACGGGAGGCAGCAGUGGGGAAUAUUGCACAAUGGGCGGAAGCCUGAUGCAGCAACGCCGCGUGCGGGAUGACGGCCUUCGGGUUGUAAACCGCUUUCGCCUGUGACGAAGCGUGAGUGACGGUAAUGGGUAAAGAAGCACCGGCUAACUACGUGCCAGCAGCCGCGGUGAUACGUAGGGUGCGAGCGUUGUCCGGAUUUAUUGGGCGUAAAGGGCUCGUAGGUGGUUGAUCGCGUCGGAAGUGUAAUCUUGGGGCUUAACCCUGAGCGUGCUUACGAUACGGGUUGACUUGAGGAAGGUAGGGGAGAAUGGAAUUCCUGGUGGAGCGGUGGAAUGCGCAGAUAUCAGGAGGAACACCAGUGGCGAAGGCGGUUCUCUGGGCCUUUCCUGACGCUGAGGAGCGAAAGCGUGGGGGGCGAACAGGCUUAGAUACCCUGGUAGUCCACGCUGUAAACGGUGGGUACUAGGUGUGGGGUCCAUUCCACGGGUUCCGUGCCGUGGCUAACGCUUUAAGUACCCCGCCUGGGGAGUACGGCCGCAAGGCUAAAACUCAAAGGAAUUGACGGGGCCCCGCACAAGCGGCGGAGCAUGCGGAUUAAUUCGAUGCAACGCGUAGAACCUUACCUGGGUUUGACAUGGAUCGGGAGUGCUCAGAGAUGGGUGUGCCUCUUUUGGGGUCGGUCCACAGGUGGUGCAUGGCUGCCGUCAGCUCGUGUCGUGAGAUGUUGGGUUAAGUCCCGCAACGAGCGCAACCCUUGUUCACUGUUGCCAGCACGUUAUGGUGGGGACUCAGUGGAGACCGCCGGGGUCAACUCGGAGGAAGGUGGGGAUGACGUCAAGUCAUCAUGCCCCUUAUGUCCAGGGCUUCACGCAUGCUACAAUGGCUGGUACAGAGAGUGGCGAGCCUGUGAGGGUGAGCGAAUCUCGGAAAGCCGGUCUCAGUUCGGAUUGGGGUCUGCAACUCGACCUCAUGAAGUCGGAGUCGCUAGUAAUCGCAGAUCAGCAACGCUGCGGUGAAUACGUUCCCGGGGCU
rnacentral:rRNA from 1 species